GACGAACGCUGGCGGCGUGCUUAACACAUGCAAGUCGAACGGAAAGGCCCUGCUUUUGUGGGGUGCUCGAGUGGCGAACGGGUGAGUAACACGUGAGUAACCUGCCCUUGACUUUGGGAUAACUUCAGGAAACUGGGGCUAAUACCGGAUAGGAGCUCCUGCUGCAUGGUGGGGGUUGGAAAGUUUCGGCGGUUGGGGAUGGACUCGCGGCUUAUCAGCUUGUUGGUGGGGUAGUGGCUUACCAAGGCUUUGACGGGUAGCCGGCCUGAGAGGGUGACCGGCCACAUUGGGACUGAGAUACGGCCCAGACUCCUACGGGAGGCAGCAGUGGGGAAUAUUGCACAAUGGGCGGAAGCCUGAUGCAGCAACGCCGCGUGCGGGAUGACGGCCUUCGGGUUGUAAACCGCUUUCGCCUGUGACGAAGCGUGAGUGACGGUAAUGGGUAAAGAAGCACCGGCUAACUACGUGCCAGCAGCCGCGGUGAUACGUAGGGUGCGAGCGUUGUCCGGAUUUAUUGGGCGUAAAGGGCUCGUAGGUGGUUGAUCGCGUCGGAAGUGUAAUCUUGGGGCUUAACCCUGAGCGUGCUUUCGAUACGGGUUGACUUGAGGAAGGUAGGGGAGAAUGGAAUUCCUGGUGGAGCGGUGGAAUGCGCAGAUAUCAGGAGGAACACCAGUGGCGAAGGCGGUUCUCUGGGCCUUUCCUGACGCUGAGGAGCGAAAGCGUGGGGAGCGAACAGGCUUAGAUACCCUGGUAGUCCACGCUGUAAACGGUGGGUACUAGGUGUGGGGUCCAUUCCACGGGUUCCGUGCCGUAGCUAACGCUUUAAGUACCCCGCCUGGGGAGUACGGCCGCAAGGCUAAAACUCAAAGGAAUUGACGGGGCCCCGCACAAGCGGCGGAGCAUGCGGAUUAAUUCGAUGCAACGCGUAGAACCUUACCUGGGUUUGACAUGGAUCGGGAGUGCUCAGAGAUGGGUGUGCCUCUUUUGGGGUCGGUUCACAGGCGGUGCAUGCCUGUCGUCAGCUCGUGUCGUGAGAUGUUGGGUUAAGUCCCGCAACGAGCGCAACCCUUGUUCACUGUUGCCAGCACGUUAUGGUGGGGACUCAGUGGAGACCGCCGGGGUCAACUCGGAGGAAGGUGGGGAUGACGUCAAGUCAUCAUGCCCCUUAUGUCCAGGGCUUCACGCAUGCUACAAUGGCUGGUACAGAGAGUGGCGAGCCUGUGAGGGUGAGCGAAUCUCGGAAAGCCGGUCUCAGUUCGGAUUGGGGUCUGCAACUCGACCUCAUGAAGUCGGAGUCGCUAGUAAUCGCAGAUCAGCAACGCUGCGGUGAAUACGUUCCCGGG
rnacentral:rRNA from 1 species